rnacentral:lncRNA from 1 species
CCCCCUCCCACCGGUCAUUAACAUGUAAAAGUCUGUUAACGACUGUUCUCUGGUCCGUUUUUUCUCUGUUUUAAAAAGACCGAUAGAAAUGAUUACUGAUGAAUAAGCUUUUGUUUUUUUUUUUGUUUUUUUUUUUCAUGUGCGGUUUUGUUUUGCAUUUGCGUUUAUUUCUAGUUCAAAUAUUUAUUGUCACAUAAAGUCUUUUAACAAAAGUUUUUUUUCAUGUGCGUGUACAUGUAGUGUUUGUUUUAAUGUUGUUUUUUUGUUUGCGCGUAAGUGUUUUUUUUUUUUUAUUUUUCAUAUGCAUAUUGUAAUAUUUUUCAUGUGCGUGUAUUGUUUUUUUCACAAGCGAUACGCAAUAUCUUUCAUAUCUUUUUCAUGGCCAUGCUUAAGAUAUGAUAAGUUAACAAUGCGUCCACUUCUCAAUCGUCAGGGGCAAGAUAUUGUCCCAUGAGUCACAAUCAAACAGGCCAUGGAUGAUUUAUUACUGUCAGACUUGUGUGUUAAAACGUUCAUUUAAGCUUUAUUUUGCUGUAGUGAAGAUUAUUUCAAGUAAACUAUUUUUGAAUUAUCGAUAAAAAAGACAAAGGAGUCAAGAAAUUGUCAAUAGAUUGUUAAUAACAACUAAGUAUUUGGAUACGUUUUAGGAUUUGUUUUUACUCGAAGCAAACUUUUUUUUGUCUUUAACGAUGAAAACCAAUUAAAAAAAAAUAUAAAAUUGUAAAUAUACAAAAUUUGCAUUAUUCCUUAUUGUCAUGUAUCAUUACACCAGAACCGGAGUCUUGUCAGAUCCUUAAUCGUGGAUAUAGUACAAUAUAUGUAUUCUAAUGUUAUUGUUUUCUGCAUUUAGAGUAAUUUGGAGAAAACGUAACAUUGUGGUGUGGUGCAUCCUAGACAUUUGUAUUCAUUCAUAAUUAAUUCUUUAUAAUGAAAAACGCUACGUUCUUGUCUGAGAAGAAACGGUAUUUAAUGGUUGCAAUAUUUAAUUAUUAUUCGAAAACUGAAACCGAAUAAUGCAGUCGUUAUGGUUGGAUCACUACGAUCACUCCAUUAGACUGGCAGAGUGAAUAUAAGUGGGUGAGAGCUUGAAUAAUUCGAGUUAGUUUGUACUUUUAUAUAUAUUUUGCUGAUUGCAGUAUUGACAGAAUAAGCAACCAUAAGCAUGAAUAGAAAAUAAUAAGAAAUAUGACACGACCCAGUGCUUCAGGAGAACGGAUGUCAUUAAUUCAAAUGUUGUCUGCGAAGGAAGACGUUAUCUGUGUUUGCUGAAAGGCGUUUCGAUAUUUAAAAGAUUUUUACAUAACUGAGAAAAAGACAAGAGCGCCGGACAAAAAUAUCAAUAUACAAAAUUCCACAAAAGGAAUCCCUGUUUAAGUCAAACAAAUGAUAUAGAAAAAGGAAAAAUAUCAUGUAGACAACAAAAAAACCACGGACAUUCCUUUGAAGAGAUUUACUUUUGCUUGUAUAUUCAGCAAUAAACGGUACCGGUAGGUUUACAAGGCAGAUCGACCUGGACAAAGGGCGAGACAUAUGGAAUGUCACUGAAAAAAUAGAGUAUUUUAUAUAGAAGUAGUAUUAUGGUAGGCCUUUGACGGAAUAACAUAAUCUUAGAUCGUUCAAAACAUCUAACAAAGAAACGAUUAAAUUGCCAACAAUAUAACAUAAGGCAAAGGUAACCAU